UACGUAGGGGGCGAGCGUUGUCCGGAUUUACUGGGCGUAAAGCGUGCGCAGGCGGCUUUGCAAGACAGAUGUGAAAUCCCCGGGCUUAACCUGGGAACUGCAUUUGUGACUGCAUGGCUGGAGUGCGGCAGAGGGGGAUGGAAUUCCGCGUGUAGCAGUGAAAUGCGUAGAUAUGCGGAGGAACACCGAUGGCGAAGGCAAUCCCCUGGGCCUGCACUGACGCUCAUGCACGAAAGCGUGGGGAGCAAACAGG
rnacentral:rRNA from 1 species